AGGAAUCAAAAAUGGUUGCUUCAUUAAAUGAGAAAUGCAGACUAGACAUGAUGAUUCUUGUGGUGGACACAGAAUUUCAAAGAUACUUUUUAACAGCAAAUUUCCAGAGCUGUGAAAAAGCGAUUUGAAGAAUUCAGAGAGAAUGGUUUGGCAAAGGUGACAAAGUGGGCCCAUCCGUGGUUGCUGGAAAUAAAAGAUCCUGGACAUUCCAGCACAGCUCUGUGUGGGAAAUGCACAGUCAUCUGCAUGGGGAGUAUGGUAAAGAAGAAAAAAAGCAGUGUUGUAAGAAAGCCGGAGUAUUUGAGAGUACCUUUUAUGUGCACGUGUGCGCCGAAUAUGUGCAUGGUGCAUCAAAUUUCAUGGUAUGUGUUGAAUUUUUGCUCAAAGAAACAAAAGGAAGAAGUGGAUGCUCAUUAUCAGCUAAAAACCAGGCUACUUCUUCA